AAAGAAUAAGAAACCAAAUUUUAUAAAAAUCAAAUACUAAACCGAAAUGUUGAAGAAACUGGAGUGGUUAUCAUGAUUUAUAGUCUUUAUCAAAGAGCUGGCAAGUACCGCUUGUCCAUCUGAAUUUAUAAUUUCGGAAAACAUUAU
ensembl:ncRNA C17G10.12 ncRNA